ensembl:lincRNA Gm44117 predicted gene, 44117
GGUCAGGCUGGGCCAGCACACUUCUCCAUAGUCCUGCCUACCCUGGGCUCUGUAUUCCUCACACUCUCUGUCCAAUGUCUCCCACCCCCAGGGAGAAGUGCAAUCAAAGGUCAGAAGCUUGAAAGCAACAGUGUAGCUGAGCGGCCUCAGUCCACAGGGAAGAUGCCCCAGCUGUCUAGAAUCCAUGGCCAACCUAGGACAUUCUGCCUAAAACUGAGUCACAUUAGGCAUCCUUGCUUCAGAACCUUCCCAGGGCUUCCAGCUCACUCACAGGAAGUAUAUAUAACCCCAUUCUCUCAGCCUUCCUCAGUCUCUUUUGGGUCCCUUUGUUCCAUGACCUCUUCUUGCUCAGGUUAACUUGCCAGGCACAAGCUCAGGACCUUUGCACAUGCUGUUCCCUUUGUCUGAGUGAGUAUGAUUCCCUUCCCAACAUUCCCAUGGCUCCCUCCUUCACUCAAGUGGCAUCUUCAAGGGAGCCUGCAUUUGCCCCCUGCUCCCUGCUGCAUCCCCCACCCCCCAUUUUCCUAUCCAGUUUAACAGUUCUGGAGACUUACUAUUUUCUAAUGUAUUAGAAGUUUUUAUUUUAUUUUGUAAACUCUUGUCUCCUAUGGAGAAUGUAAGUGGCAUAGCAGAAAUUUCUGUGUUCCCAGCCCAGGACUAGAAUUUGCAUCCCCAGCAUCAUGUAAAGGUCAAGUAGGUCUUGAAGCUGUCUGUAAUUUUAGGACACAGAGGGCAGAGGCAGGAUUCCUAGAGCAAGCUGCCCUCUGGACCAGCUGAAAUCUGUGAGCUCUGGGUUUGGCAAGAGACCCUGCCUUGAUGAAUAUAGUGGAGAGAGGUGGGAAGAGCCACCAAAUCUUAGCUUCAGGCUUCCACAUGCAUAUAUCCACAUGUGAUGUGUGCCCAUAUAUACAAACAUGCAUGCUCACACCACACACAGAGAAAAGAAUUAAAUAGGCUUCCAGGGACUUACCCCCUAAACAGGAGAUAGUUGGUUCCUGGGGAAAUCAGAACAAUUUUCUUGUAAGAAGCAUAAAAACUCCCACAGAACCUUCCAGAGUUUGCCUUCAUGUCUGCUGUGCUCCCUCUCUGCUUCACCAGCAGGGUCUGAUCAUCCACGCAUUCUCAGACAGCAGUCAUAUAAAUCCUAAGUCAGCUUUAGCUCCCACCAUAGCCUAGAUACCUCUGCAUGUGCAUCACACUCCAGGGCCAGGAUCAGCCUCAGUGCAAGGCAUUCCUGUUGACUGAGGGAAGAGGGCACUCGAUCCUGACCACCUGAAGGCUCCCAUGAGCAGCAACACACUCAUUUCCCACCAUCUAGACAGAAAAACAACCCAGUGUAGCAGGAAGGAUUUAUGCACUGAUUUUCAGUCAUAGCUAGGCACCAGGGUAUCCGACUUGCAAGGCAGACUCUCCCUUGUGCUACAUUUCCACUCUUACUGGGGAGGAGGAAAAGAAAACCAGGUGGUAGGUGUAAGCUCUUUGAGGCACAAGUGGCUAGGCCUGGACCCCAAGACGUCUCUAACGCUGGUGGCUGGCAUUUCCAGUCCCUUGAGGCAGGAAGAGAGGCCAAGCCCCACCCUAUAUAAUAAAAAUGCCCAAGGUCAGGCCACAAAAUGCCUCUAAUCCCAGGACACUCUAGAAAGCUUCACUCACAGAAACACUAUACAAAGCCUGCCCUCCGCUCAGUUCUUUGCCGAUUCUUUCUCACCCAGGCAGAGGUAGCUACCCUUGUGCGUCUUUCCCAAUAAAUCUGUUGUUC